AUGUACGUACGCAUCCACACCAUCGGCUGGACAUCACACAAUCCAUCGACGCGCACGCAUGCAUUGAGGCGACUCCCUCAACUCGCUAGGGCUUCGUUGAGCAUUGCCACCAGCAGCCGGCCGCCGCCGCUGCUUAAGCCAGUCUCUAGCGCACUUGCCGUGGAAUUGCUAUGUCACCUAUAUCAUCACGAAAGCCACGACCUUGCAACCAGGCGCGGGUGGCGGCCGGAGUCUUGCCAGCAAACAAGCUCCAAUCGGACUCACUCAAGUCAAUCAAGUGAAGAUGAAGAUGACAUCAUGAAUAGCGAGAUAUAUCACUCUGCCUUUGCGCACAGCGUGCACACUCCAGAGAGAUAUUCCGUACUUUCCGGAAAGCAGCGCGUUUGGCAAGGUGUGUACUUAACGCACGAAGACUUUACUAACACAUGCACUGUGCACGGGCCCUUGGGGUACAUGCCGUCCAGCCUGGAGAGCAGCAUGCUGUGCACCGGCGAAGGCUGCUGCCAGGCGCCCGUCGUCGUAGUCAAGGCAGCGACGGCAGCAGGGUCCUCUAACUCCGUGCAGCUCGAGCGGUUCGGCCGGAACAACCGCACCGCCGACGAGGAGCGGAUGCCCACGCGCGUGUUCGUCGCCAAAAAGGGGUGGUUCGAGAACAAGAAGGUCUCAGACAAGCUCUUCCAUCCCAAACGGCCGCCGGCGAAGGAUGUCGCCACGGGAGUAUCAGUUUGGCUGAGCUGGGAGUUCGCCCAAGAUCCUUCUCGUUCCCCACUACUCCCCCUCCCCGCGAGUUGCUGCCCCCCUUCCCCCUCGCCGCUGCCGCCGGCGGGCGCGGCCGGGCGUUGCCCGCGUGGCACCCCACAGUCCGGUGGUAGCGGCCCCCCCUUCUUCCCCCGUCGCUGGAUCACGGCUCGGGCGAGCGGUCCUAGCGGUAGAGCCCUUCGGCCGAUGACAUCUAGGCCCUAUGGGCCCUAUCUGGGUCGGAGCGGGCCUGCUGGUGGGCCGCGGUGGGUUAUUCCCCGGUGGUUCUGGCGAGCUCCUCGCGACAGGGACGGCGGCUGCUGUGCCGCGACUGCUGCAGCAUGGCGGCUGAGCUUCACGGGCCCAUUCUGGGCCCGGCCGAACAUUUGGUCUGGUGUGCCUCUGCUGCUAUGCCCGGUUUGCUACCGCCUAAGCUGGUGGAGGUUGUUCCCUCCCUCGUCGCUGCGGUGCUGCCGGUCCUUGUCUACAGGUGUCUCGUUUGGAUCCGGCCGGCCUCGCUUCGUUGGAUGUGGUUGGUCCUGGGUGGCGGGCGCGAGGGAUCGGGAGAAUUCCAUGUCGGGUCUUGCCGGCACCAACGCGGUGACGCCUGCGGGCGCCGCCAUCCUUCUUGAAGGGCGUCGGGUGACCCUCUCCUCCCUCUACCCUUCGUAUACCGGGAGACAUCCUAGGAUUCGUCCGGGCAGCAGUGUCAUCAUCGUCGCAUUCCUUCUUGAAGGUGGUGCUUGUGAUAUUUUCUUCCUUUUGAGAAAUAUGGUACACAUGCUCACAACGUGCACGCACCGACACCGUCGUACCAACCAAAGAAAAGCCGCGGAAAACCACCGCAAGGCGCGCACUGCGGCCGCAGGCGUGCAGGGCCACCUGGCCCCCGCGACACUUGUGCAGUACGUUCACCUUUGGACGCGGAUCCAGCAGACCACCCUUUCCGACGCCCCGGACACCCUCACCUGGCGCUGGGUGUCGAACGGCGCGUACUCCGCCAAAUCGUGCUACAAAGCCCUGUUUGCCGGUUCCACGAUUGAGCCCUCCUGGAGACUUUGGGAGGUGUUGCAAUCAUCAGGCUUACCCAACGCCAAGAUGAAGUCACUUCAAAAUUGUCCUAUGGAGGUAGCCGCCAAUAUUUGCAAGAGCAAACACAGCCACUGCAAACCAGGAAACGGAGGUGGCCCCGUGACACUUAAAGGCGACCAACUUAAGACGAUGAUGAAUACUAGACUUUCUUGCGGGGCGGGUCUCAUGAUUUGGGUUCUCACUUCACUGUUUGUUUCCAAGAAAUUGAAACAUAGGAGAACGCUGAUGUUAAAACAGAAGUUCAUUGAGCAAAAUCAUGGACAAUUGCUGGAACAGUUGGUAUCUCAAAGAACUGGUAUUGCAGAACAAAUGAUCAUAACCUUGGAAGAGCUAAACAAGGCAACACGCAAUUUUGAUAAAGAUCUUGUGGUUGGCGGUGGAGGGCAUGGUACUGUUUACAAAGGGAUUUUAUCGAACCAACAUAUUGUGGCCAUCAAGAAACCAAAGAAGGUUCUUUCAAGGGAGAUUGAUGAGUUUAUAAAUGAGGUUGCCAUCCUAUCACAAAUCAACCACAAAAAUGUCCUAAAACUCUAUGGUUUCUGCCUUGAAACUGAAGUCCCGAUGUUGGUAUAUGAGUUCAUAUCCAACGGGACUCUUUAUGAUUAUCUUCAUGUUGAAGGACCAAUAUCAUUGUCGUGGAACAACAGGCUGCGCAUAGCCACUGAAACAGCCAAGUCGCUCGCCUAUCUUCACACAACUGUGGCAGUACCUAUCAUCCACAGAGAUGUCAAGUCCGCUAACAUACUUUUGGAUGAUACUCUCACAGUAAAGGUAGCUGACUUUGGAGCUUCAAGGUACAUUCCGAUGGAGAAAUCUGGGUUAACAACAAGAGCUCAAGGUACACGAGGAUACUGGGACCCUAUGUACUUUUACACUGGGCGGCUCACGGCGAAAAGUGAUGUUUACAGUUCUGGGGUUGUCCUUGUGGAACUGCUAACCAGGAAGAAGCCAUUUUCAUAUUCGUCCUCAGAUGAUGAGGGUCUUGUUGUACAUUUUGUUACCUUGUUUCUAGAAGGGAAUUUGCUCCAGAUAUUAGAUCCACAAGUUAUUGAGGAAGGGGGCAAAGAAGUCCAAGAAGUGGCUGCUAUUGCAACAGCAUGUGUGAAAUUAAGUGGAGAGGACCGUCCAACCAUGAGGCAAGUGGAGUUGAUGCUUGAAGGCAUAUGUGCAUCCGAGGAGCAUAUUUUAGAUAAGCUGCACGUCGAGAACAACACGCGCUGCGCCUUGUGGCCUUCCUCGCCGGCGCAGCCUAGAUAUACCCAGUUGAGCACGCCCGGCGGAAAGGAAAGAGUAAUGCUCGAUAAGGCAGGGCUGCACAUUGAGUUCCGUCCAUCUAGCAAUGGUGCACACGACAGCCACCAUUUCGAUCUCCGCGACGGCGGCGCUUUUGCUGCUGCCGCCGACGUUGCUCUCAUUCAUCGUCGGAGCCGCAGCAGCAUUGUGUGCUGGCUUUUGCUUAUGCUUGGGUAA
rnacentral:rRNA from 1 species